rnacentral:rRNA from 1 species
GAUGAACGCUGGCGGCGUGCUUAACACAUGCAAGUCGAACGAUGAAGCCCAGCUUGCUGGGUGGAUUAGUGGCGAACGGGUGAGUAACACGUGAGUAACCUGCCCUUAACUCUGGGAUAAGCCUGGGAAACUGGGUCUAAUACCGGAUAGGAGCGUCCACCGCAUGGUGGGUGUUGGAAAGAUUUAUCGGUUUUGGAUGGACUCGCGGCCUAUCAGCUUGUUGGUGAGGUAAUGGCUCACCAAGGCGACGACGGGUAGCCGGCCUGAGAGGGUGACCGGCCACACUGGGACUGAGACACGGCCCAGACUCCUACGGGAGGCAGCAGUGGGGAAUAUUGCACAAUGGGCGCAAGCCUGAUGCAGCGACGCCGCGUGAGGGAUGACGGCCUUCGGGUUGUAAUCCUCUUUCAGUAGGGAAGAAGCGAAAGUGACGGUACCUGCAGAAGAAGCACCGGCUAACUACGUG